AAAUUGAAGAGUUUGAUCAUGGCUCAGAUUGAACGCUGGCGGCAGGCCUAACACAUGCAAGUCGAACGGUAACAGGAAGCAGCUUGCUGCUUCG
rnacentral:rRNA from 14 species